AUUAACUGUUCCCAAAAGGUACUCCCGGUUCUCCUGUGGCAACUUAAUAUAUUUGAAGCUGAGCCCAUUUUUGAUUAAACUAUAGGACGACUCUGCCAGGCCGCUACUAAAAUUUAUCACUGUAUUUCUCUUUCCUAUCAUCUGAAAUGUUUUUGAAGAAAAUCAAAGAAGGGCUGUCUUUCUGUGAUUAAUGAAGGCACAUCUUUGCAAGCUUCUAAAGUCUACACUAUGCUGGGGAAAUACUAGAGGAACUACUCACAACACGAGAGUAAAGGACAAAAUUCCAAGCUCAUUCAAAGUGCACAUAGAAAAUUCAAUUGUAUAAGCCACAAACCCAGGUGAGAAGAUGGAGAAUAAAAGGGUCAAGGUCAAAAAGCAAAUAAGUAACAAGUAUGCACAUCAAAUGAGGCCCUUCAGAUUGCAUGGUCUCCCUGCUUUAUGUUGCUUCUCCCUCAUCAGACAAGGUUACAUCCGCAUUGGAAGGAGAAAAAAAUAAAACCUGGAAGAUCUACUACAUGUGGAUGGUAGACUAAAGAUAAUUUUUAUAUCUUGAGCUGAUAGGAUAGCCUGUGUGUUUGAAGAAGGUCCUUUCCUCAAGAUACUUCACUAUCUUCAUCGGCAAAACUACCAUAGCUAUACAAGGAAUGAUACGAUAAGUGACAACAUGCAGGUUGUAUGAUCAUAAAUGAUGAGCCCAGUAACCUUUAAACUGAAACCUGAAAAAGAGCUGACAAAACAGAAAAACUACAGGAAACAGCAAGUAACAUCAACUGUCACUAAGGAGACAGCAGACGCCCACUAUUAAACUAUGGUACUUAAGUAAAAGCUUUUCUACCAUUUUACAUUAUCUUUCAGGAAAAUAUUUUGUGGUUCCAUAUGUAAAUAAUAACAACAGUGUAAUCUCCCCAAAUAGCCAGAAAUAAUAAAAUACUUUCCAUGAUCCUCAGUUUGCUUUGAGUGAAC